GACGAACGCUGGCGGCGUGCUUAACACAUGCAAGUCGAGCGGUAAGGCCCUUUCGGGGGUACACGAGCGGCGAACGGGUGAGUAACACGUGGGUGACCUGCCCUCAGCUCUGGGAUAAGCCUGGGAAGCCGGGUCUAAUACUGGAUAUGACUCCAUGACGCAUGUUGUGGGGUGGAAAGCCUUGUGCGGCUGAGGAUGGGGCCCGCGGCCUAUCAGCUUGNGGUGGGGUGAUGGCCUACCAAGGCGACGACGGGUAGCCGGCCUGAGAGGGCGACCGGCCACACUGGGACUGAGACACGGCCCAGACUCCUACGGGAGGCAGCAGUGGGGAAUCUUGCGCAAUGGGCGAAAGCCUGACGCAGCGACGCCGCGUGAGGGAUGACGGCC
rnacentral:rRNA from 1 species